UACUUCUUUACAAUAUUGUUGAGUCAGAGAGAUUUAAAUAUUCAAAGGGGUUAACUUGCAUCUUAUGAGCAGCUGGACAUCCCAGAACUGCGUAAAUGGUGGUGUGUGAUGUUAAUGGAGAACUAUGGGCUGGAUAGCCACGGAAAGGUUUUUGCACACUUCACUGAGGAGUCUAAAGCCGCACUAAGCGGUGAUCGGCAGCCUGCUUUUAGACUAAGGAAACCUGUCAGGAAGAGCCACAACACUGGGUUCAGGAAUCAUCAUCAUCACAGGUAUAUAUACUGUGUAGUGGGUCAGACACAAUAGAAAUUCUCUUUAAAUAUGCAGUUUUAAAAUUAACACACUCAAGUGUAAUAUUCAUCUGAUUGUAUUUCAUAAAUUGUUAGGCAGAUGAUGCAAGUAUAAAUGUACUGCCUCCUGUGAUGGAGGA